rnacentral:lncRNA from 1 species
UAAAAGGAAAAUGCACUCUGAUGCAUACCUUUAUUAAUUGACAAGGGCACUUGCAUAGAGUUGAAACAUUAAAAUAUUUUUUUUAAGAAAUUUUAUAUAAAUUCUUUUUAAAAGCUUUGAAAAAUAUUAGUUUAAAUAAAUCAACAAGAAAUUUAAAAGAAAAUGAAAUUUCUAGUAAAAAAAAUUUUUUGAAUAAAUGAGUGAUAGACAAAUUUUUAAUAAAAUAAAAUUACAUUAUAAAUAUAUCAAUAAUAAUUUGAAUAUAAAUCAAUAAGAAAAUAUAAUCAUCUAAAUUAUAUAGACUACUUAUAAGUAUGAGAUAGGCCUCUCAUAUUAAUAAAAGAAAUAAACUAUGCUUAUAAGUAUGAGAUAGGCCAUCUCAUAUUACUAAAAGAAACAAACCAUUUCUCUGACGUAAACAUUCAAUUGCAUCCUUAUAGAGGUAGAUUUAUUCCCCAUAUAUUCUUAAAUAAUCAUUUUUUGCAGAGUUGAAACAUUAAAACAUAUUUUUUAAAAGAAAUUUUAUAUAAAUUCUUUUUAAAAGCUUUGAAAAAUAUUAGUUUAAAUAAAUCAACAAGAAAUUUAAAAAAAAAUAAAAAUUCUAGUAAAAAAAAUUUUUUAAAUAAAAGAGUGAUAGACAAAUUUUUAAUAAAACAAAAUAAAAUUACACUAUAAAUAUAUCAAUAAUAAUUUGAAUAUAAAUCAAUCAAAAGAAUAUAACCAUAUAAAUUAUAUAGACUACUUAUAAGUAUGAGAUAGGCCUCUCAUAUUAAUAAAAGAAACAAACCAUGCUUAUAAGUAUGAGAUAGGCCACCCCAUAUUACUAAAAGAAACAAACCAUUUCUCUAACGUAAACAUUCAAUUGCAUCCUUAUGGAGGUAGACUUGUUCCCCAUAUAUUCUUAAAUAAUCAUUUUUUGCAGUUAUUAACAUUAAAAUUAAUUAUCAAAUAAUGCAACAAAGCAAAUAGAGUAGCAAACAGGAAACAUAAGUUAUCCCUUACUUAGGGAAGCCUAAUAAGUCCAAUAAUUAGAAUUAAAGAAGGACGACAAAUUAAAAGGCCAAUAAAUAUGAGUCCAUCCAAAAGAAUGAGAUCACCACAUAUCAAUAUGCAUAUUACAAGAAUCCUAAAACCAUAAACAAGCAAUUAAAGAACUAGUCAGAAAUUUUUUUAAAAAAAUACUAAAUAGUAUGAGUUUAAACCUAUGAUCCAUAAAUAAAAACUAGACUAAUGAACUCAAUAACUCAUUAUCAUCAUUGAAAUCCAUUAUAUAUAUGAGGAUUUUGUUAAAAAGUUGGAUAGCAACCACAAACACUCCUUUGCUUCUGCUUUAUUUUUGAAAAUCUACAACAAAGAGCUUUCCCAACCAAGAGAUACUGUAGGGAAAUCUCGAGAUUAUUGCAACCCAAAGGCGCAGCGGAAAAAUAAAAUUUCUUUGAUUUCCUUUGCCAAAAUCCGAGUGCAUCGUUUAAUUCACAAGAAGGAUAUGAAACUAACCUGUUAAUCUCGUCGAGAAGAUACAAUGUUGGACUGAUGGUGCUGCUUUUUCAAACGAACACCCUCUAUGAUAUCCACACGAACGUCUUCUAUUCUUCUAGAGUGCUAGCUCUCUCAAAGAUAGAUAGAUUAUGUGCUCCACAAUCUCCAGCCUUUUAGACUGAGUUUUCUCAAAAAUAUCAUCUCCUAAAUUCAUAGAAGGAGUAUUUAUAUGUUUCAGUCUUUUGUUUUCCCACAACUCCUUUUCCUAAAAGGAGUUGUGUUCAUC